GUCAACGAUCAUAUCAUGUAAAAAACACCAGUUCUCGUCCGAUCACUGAAGUUAGGCUGCAUUGAGCGCGGUUAGUUGUCGUCGGCA
rnacentral:rRNA from 1 species